rnacentral:rRNA from 1 species
GCGAACGCUGGCGGCAUGCUUAACACAUGCAAGUCGCGCGGGUGGUUUCGGCCAUCAGCGGCGGACGGGUGAGUAUCGCGUAGGAAUGUAUCCCGAGGUGGGGGACAACCCUGGGAAACUGGGGCUAAUACCGCAUGGGGCCUGUGGGUCAAAGCCUUAGGGCGCCUUGGGAGCAGCCUGCGUCCGAUUAGGUAGUUGGUGGGGUAAAGGCCUACCAAGCCUGCGAUCGGUAGCUGGUCUGAGAGGACGAUCAGCCACACUGGGACUGAGACGCGGCCCAGACUCCUACGGGAGGCAGCAGUGGGGAAUAUUGGACAAUGGGCGCAAGCCUGAUCCAGCAAUGCCGCGUGGGUGAAGAAGGUCUUCGGAUUGUAAAGCCCUUUCGGCGGGGACGAUGAUGACGGUACCCGCAGAAGAAGCCCCGGCUAACUUCGUG